rnacentral:rRNA from 1 species
UACGAAGGGUGCAAGCGUUACUCGGAAUUACUGGGCGUAAAGCGUGCGUAGGCGGUUUGUUAAGUCCGCUGUGAAAGCCCUGGGCUCAACCUGGGAAUUGCAGUGGAUACUGGCAAGCUAGAGUGCGGUAGAGGAUGGUGGAAUUCCCGGUGUAGCGGUGAAAUGCGUAGAUAUCGAGAGGAACACCUGCGGCGAAGGCGGGUUGCUGGGCUGACACUGACGCUGAGGCGCGAAAGCUAGGGGAGCGAACGGG